rnacentral:pre_miRNA from 1 species
UAUUCCCUCCGUUCAAAAAGAACAUGUUUCUGGGUUUGAAUCUGGACAGUUUGAAUUAAACCCAGAAACGUGUUUUUUUGGAACGGAGGAAG